AAAGGCCGGGAUCUUCGGACCGGUCACUAUUGGAUGAGCCUGCGUAAGAUUAGCUAGUUGGUGGGGUAAAGGCCUACCAAGGCGACGAUCCGUAGCUGGUCUGAGAGGAUGAUCAGCCACAUCGGGACUGAGACACGGCCCGAACUCCUACGGGAGGCAGCAGUGGGGAAUAUUGGACAAUGGGGGAAACCCUGAUCCAGCAAUGCCGCGUGAGUGAUGAAGGCCUUAGGGUUGUAAAGCUCUUUUACCCGGGAUGAUAAUGACAGUACCGGGAGAAUAAGCUCCGGCUAACUCCGUGCCAGCAGCCGCGGUAAUACGGAGGAUCCAAGCGUUAUCCGGAAUCAUUGGGUUUAAAGGGUCCGUAGGCGGGCAAUUAAGUCAGUGGUGAAAGUCUGUAGCUCAACUAUAGAAUUGCCUUUGAUACUGAUUGUCUUGAGUUAUAGUGAAGUUGCCGGAAUAUGUAGUGUAGCGGUGAAAUGCAUAGAUAUUACUUAGAAUACC
rnacentral:rRNA from 1 species